AAGACUUUUCAUGAAUUAUUAUUUUUAUAUUAGAUUGAUUUUAUGGUUUACAGAUCCAGAAUCUUUUUUUUUAGAGAGAAAGGUAGCACGCUACCCGCUUCGUUUAUUUCAUUUAGAAAUAAACUUAGCUGGAAAUGUGAAUCAACUAGGAUUCAAACUUGAAUCUCGGAUACAAACCAUCACUUGCUCUAGGGACGGUUGGUAACAGAUUCAGAAUCUUCCGCUCACAUAUUUAGUUAUAUGUAGUUUAGAAGAU
rnacentral:lncRNA from 1 species